AUGGAGAGAGUAACAAGGAUGGUUUCAGAGAGGCCAGUGGUGAUAUUCAGCAAGAGUUCAUGUUGCAUGAGUCAUACAAUAAAGACACUUUUUUGUGACUUUGGUGUGAAUCCAGCAGUUUAUGAACUUGAUGAGGUAUCAAGAGGGAGAGAGAUAGAACAAGCACUUUCAAGACUUGGUUCAUCUCCAUCUGUUCCAACUGUUUUCAUUGGUGGUGAGCUUGUUGGUGGAGCCAAUCAAGUCAUGAGUCUUCAUCUUAACCGCUCUUUGAUUCCAAUGCUUAAAAAAGCUGGAGCUCUUUGGGUUUAA